GUGGGGAAUCUUAGACAAUGGGCGCAAGCCUGAUCUAGCCAUGCCGCGUGAGCGAUGAAGGCCUUAGGGUUGUAAAGCUCUUUCGCUGGGGAAGAUAAUGACUGUACCCAGUAAAGAAGCCCCGGCUAACUCCGUGCCAGCAGCCGCGGUAAUACGGAGGGGGCUAGCGUUGUUCGGAAUUACUGGGCGUAAAGCGCGCGUAGGCGGAUUGGAAAGUUGGGGGUGAAAUCCCGGGGCUCAACCUCGGAACUGCCUUCAAAACUCCCAGUCUUGAGUUCGAGAGAGGUGAGUGGAAUUCCGAGUGUAGAGGUGAAAUUCGUAGAUAUUAGGAAGAACACCAGUGGCGAAGGCGGCUCACUGGUCUGGUACUGACGCUGAGGUGCGAAAGCGUGGGGAGCAAACAGGAUUAGAAACCCGGGUAGUCC
rnacentral:rRNA from 1 species